rnacentral:lncRNA from 1 species
GUAUAACAAUGUACAUUUAUUCAUGUACAGAAAUAUAUAUUUAUCCAAUAUAGUCAUGUCAUCAUCAUCUGGAAUAUAUCAUCAUAAGACUCUGAAUUCUUCUGAAUUUUUUGCUACUCCAUUUCCUGUAGAACCAUUGGCACCAAUCUCUCAUGUCCAGCAAUAGAGCUCUCCUUAAAUAAGCACUUCUUGUCAAUGUAGUCUGUUUGUAGUACAUUGGCAAAAUGGCUUCCGAUUUUAUCCCAUGAAUUCUUCACCCAAGUCACAAUCUCUUGCAGACUAGUCUUUACAAAGUUUCCAUGCUGAUUUCUCUCCAUUCUAUUUUCAAUGUAGCCACUGUUUAUUUAAUUAUAUAUUAAUAUCAUUAUUUUACAAUUCAAUAAGUUCAAUAGGUGUGUGUUGCAACAAAUGUACUAAAUGGAUCUAUCUAUCUGGCUGAUGAUCUUAACUAGGGCUUAUAUUACAAACAUCCUGAAAAAUCAUGUUAGGUUUAUUUUCAGUUAGGU